CCGGCACGGCGGAGGAGCGGGAGGCGCAGCUCGUCGAUUUCCAGAAGGCGCGCGACGACUGGAGCGAGAACAGGAAGAAGGGGUUCCAUUCAUGCGGCGAUUUGUUCCUGAGACUGCAGCUGAAAAGGGAAAGCGGAAUCGAUCUGCUCGGAAUCCCGCCGGUGAGGAUCGGAGAGAACGAAGAGAUCAGCUACGAAGCCGCCACGACAGCCGUGAAGAAGGCGCUGCGGGUGAACCGGGCGGUCCAAGCCAGCGACGGCCACUGGCCGGCCGAGAACGCCGGCCCGCUCUUCUUCACUCCCCCUUUGGUGAGCUUAUAAUUUUUUUUUACUAUUUUAAUUCUGUAACUAAUUGUUUAGUAACGUUUUGUGCGACAGCUGAUAUCUUUGUACAUAAGCGGGAUGCUGAACAAGGUGCUGACACCUGCGCACAUUAAGGAGCUCAUCCGCUACAUCUACAACCACCAGGUGAUUUUAUCAAUCAUGCCAAAUUGAUGUAUUUAAUUAUUAAAGAAAAAGACUAAAAAGAAAAAAAGUGGUGGAGAUGCAUAACGGUGUUUGUACGGUGCAGAAUGAGGAUGGGGGGUGGGGAUUUUACAUAGAAGGGCACAGCACAAUGAUUGGAUCAGCGCUAAGCUACGUGGCGCUAAGGAUACUGGGGCAGGGACCAGAUGACGGCGACGGCGCCAUGGGCAGAGGAAGGCAGUGGAUUCUUGAUCACGAAGGCGCUACCGGAAUACCCUCAUGGGGAAAGACGUAUCUUUCGGUAAUAUAUUCACUAUUUAAUUUCCACACAUAUAUCUAUCAAUGUUUUGGACACAUGCAUAUUCUUAAGUCGUCUACUAAUGUGGUUGAACCGAAAUUUAAACAAAAAAUCAUUAAUUUCCUAUGUAUAUCAGGUAAAUAGUUAGUUGGUAUGACUACGAAAUUAAAAGUAGGACUAAAAGAAAUGAAAGACAAUUUGUGGGUAAUCACUCAAGAUAUUCUUAGAAUUCAGAUACAUUAUUCAAAAACUAGAAAAUUAAAUCUUUGGGAGAAGUAGCAAAUAUCUCCCUAAGUCCCUAUUAUAUAACCUCGUAACAUAUUUAUCAUCUUAUCUUUUGAUUUUGGGCUGUUAGCUCCUCAACAUCUUAUAAGGAGUGCAAAAUUCCCCCUAUUUUUGACGGGACACUUUACUCCGUCAAUAUUUUUCAUUUUUUAUUUAUUAUUAUCUCUCAAGUGGAUCUCACUCUAUUUAUCAAUGUAUUAGGAAGAAUGAACUUUCAUUUAUUUGGUAUUUUUAAUUAACUUUUAUUCUUUUUGAUAUAAUCCCGAAAAUAUAUAAAAGCAGUCGCGCCUUCGUUUUUUAUUAUUUCAUUUAUUUCUAUUUUUUUUUCAUCGGGUUUCACUGAAUUUUGUUACGUUGAAGAAGAAAAUUUUCAAAUUUGUUGAGGAGCUAACAACUUAAAAUCAAAAGAUAGGGAGAUAAAUAUGUUAAGAGAUUAUACGAUAGGGGCUAUUAAUUUGCUACCUCUCCCUGAAAUCUUUAACCUGCCCCUAAGUAACAUCCAUCAAAAACUUUUAACCAUGAAGUAUAAAUUUUGAUGAUGAAAAUGCUUUCAGGUUCUUGGAGUGUACGAAUGGGACGGUUGCAACCCUCUUCCCCCGGAGUUCUGGCUCUUCCCUUCCGUUUUCCCUUACCAUCCAGGUACGGGGAGCUCUGUUUUUCGUUUUUGUUUUUUGUUUUUGAUUCGAUACUAAACAAACAUCGGAAUGCAGCAAAGAUGUGGUGUUACUGCCGCACAACCUACAUGCCAAUGUCGUACCUAUACGCGAAACAGUUCCACGGGCCCCUGACCGACGUCGUUUUGGCCCUCCGCAACGAAAUCCAUUUGAAACCCUACGACGAGAUCGACUGGAACAAGGCGCGACACCACUGUUGCAAGGAGGAUAUUUACUACCCUCACUCGAAGAUCCAGGAUGUUCUGUGGGACACUCUCAACUACUGCAGCGAGCCGCUGAUGCGGCGCUGGCCGUUGAACAAGAUCCGGCAGAAGGCCAUGGACAAGGCCAUCAAAUACAUGCGCUACGGCGCUGAGGAGAGCCGAUACAUCACCAUCGGAUGCGUCGAGAAGGUAUUAAAUUAAUUCAUUAAUAAAUUAAUUGGUGGCUCUUGCUCCAUCGAUCAUAUUCAUUAACGCUACUGUUUUAUCGAUUGAUGCAGAGCCUGCAGAUGAUGUGCUGGUUCGCACACGACCCCAACUGCGACGAAUUCAAGUACCACUUAGCUAGAGUUCCCGACUACAUGUGGCUGGCGGAAGACGGCAUGAAGAUGCAGAGCUUCGGGAGCCAGCUGUGGGACAGCACGCUCGCGACGCAAGCAGUCAUCGCGAGCGGCAUGGUGGAGGAAUACGGCGACUGCCUCAAGAAGGCGCAUUUCUACAUCAAAGAGUCGCAGGUGAAGGAGAAUCCCAAGGGGGAUUUCAUGGCCAUGUAUCGUCACUUCACCAAAGGCUCCUGGACUUUCUCUGAUCAGGAUCAGGGCUGGGUCGUCUCCGACUGCACCGCCGAGGCGCUCAAGUGUCUGCUUAUGCUGUCGCAAAUGCCGACGGAAAUCGCCGGGGAGAAGGCCGACGUGGAGCGCCUCUACGACGGUGUGAACGUGCUCCUUUAUUUGCAGAGCCCUCUCAGCGGCGGAUUUGCGAUCUGGGAGCCGCCGGUUCCGCAGCCGUAUCUGCAGGUUUUGAACCCUUCGGAGCUCUUUGCGGACAUCGUGGUUGAAUCAGAGUAAGAUUUUUCAUUCAAUUGAAGAUUCAUCGCAUUUUCAUGGGCGCGGCUAAAACAGAGUGUGUUUCUUAUUCAGGCACGUGGAGAAUACUGCUUGUAUAAUCCAAGCACUCGUCUCGUUCAAGCGUCUGUAUCCAGGCCAUCGCGCCAAAGAAAUCGAAGGCUCUGUCGCACGUGCGAUUAAAUUCCUCGAAGGAAGGCAAUGGCCUGACGGUUCAUGGUGAGCUACUUUUUUACUCUUAUGUCGAGCAUUAGUGUAUUUUGAACUGAAACUCGACUUGCAAUCGACAAAUCUCGAGUAUUAGUGCACUUUUAAGAAUGCUCGACCGUGUCGAGCAUUUGUUUAGUACUGAUGCUCGACUUGCAGGGUGGUGAAAAUUGUAUCUACUCAUUUUAAAAGAUAAAAUUUUGAAAAUACUAACGUUUUACAAAAUAUAUAAAUUAUACCCAUUUAAAACUUUUUUACCUUUACGUCGAAUAUUAGUGCAUUUUCUAAGAAUGCUCGAUUGCUCGACUAGCAGUGGUCGAACAUGUUGAGCGUUGGUGCAUUCACCACUAAUGCGUAAUGCUUGACAUGGUCGACUUGCAUUGAUCGAGCAUCAUUUCAAACAAAGUUUGCGAUUUAAUUGGUACUUCCACUUCCCUGAAAGAAAAAAAAAGAGAGUAAAUUUGAAUGAUGAAUGGUAUUGCAGGUAUGGAUACUGGGGAAUUUGCUUCUUGUAUGGGACGUGCUUCGUAUUGGGAGGAUUUGUUGCAGCGGGUAAGACGUAUGAGAACAGCGAAACAGUGAGAAAAGCUGUGAAUUUCUACUUGACAACACAGAACGAAGAAGGUGGAUGGGGAGAAAGCCUCGAGUCCUGCCCAAGCAUGGUAUUAAAUCUAUAAAUAAAUAAAUAAAUCAAAUCAUAGAAAAAGAUGAAAUUAAACUCUUAACAAUACGAUGAUGUUGUUACAGAAAUACAUUCCUUUGGAAGGAAACCGCACAAAUUUGGUUCAGACAUCAUGGGCCAUGCUCGGUCUUAUGUAUUCUGGACAGGUUAGUCCUAAUUCGAUCUGCAAUAAAAUAUAUAAUUAAUAUCUACUUAUUUAAUGUAUAAUCUAAAUGAAUUUUGUGGUAUUUUUGAUGGAGCAGGCGGAGAGGGAUCCGAAACCUCUACACAGAGCAGCAAAGCUGUUGAUUAAUGCACAAAUGGACGAUGGAGAUUUUCCUCAAGAGGUAUUUAAUUACAAAAACACACACUUGUAUUUUCAUUUGGUGUUAAAAAUCUGUGAGUUGCUAAAAAAAGAAAAAAUUUGAAAAAUGGCAGGAUAUAACUGGGGUGUACAUGAAGAACUGCAUGCUGCAUUACGCGCAAUAUAGGAAUAUAUUCCCGCUGUGGGCACUGGGAGAGUAUCGCAAACGAGUCUGGUCAUCGCAAUGCUUGUAAACAGAGUAUAUGAGAGCAACCAUAUUCAAAACAAAUAUAUAUAUAUGUAUUUAUAGAUAUAUAUGUGUCUGUGUGAAGAAUGCUUGGGUGAAAAAUCUGUGACAGCCCAUGUCAAAGAACUAGUACAAAAUAACCAUGUGAAAGAUAGCUUGCGGAAGUCUGCAAUAACGAAGCUCGCCAAGUGUUGUUCCUUUUCUUUUUCUCUGUUUUUAGUGUAAAUUAUGUAAUAUCAGCUUUUAAGUUAUCAUGAUCUGUUGAUUUCCCAAUUGUGAAUUUGGAAGUUGAAAUUUCCAGCAAUUCCCAGUCACAUUUUUUAAUUUUUUUUUAGUAUUAUAAUGGGACUCUCUAAAAAUUAGAAACUAAUUUAUUGUUGGAGUAGAUGUUAGGUAAGUUUUCAAAGCUGAUGUGGCAAUUUGGAAGCUGAAAUUCUAGUUCACCAUUUGAGGCAUCACAAUCGGGGUUGUGAUGCGAUGGUGAACGGCGUUUGGUUGAGCCACGGCGAUGGCUGAUUAUGCCGAAAAAUGGAUGAAAUAUGCGACAAUGGCGCAAGAUUUAGGAGGAGAAAUUGCUAAGUUAGGCAAGAGGUUUUCAUAUAUAGUCUGAAGAAAAGAAAAGAAAAUGAUACAGUUGGGCAAGUCUGCUGCUGAUGUUCUUGAAAUACAAAUUAAAUUAUAUGGUUGACAAUAGCUCAAGUUCUUCAUCUCUUGCUAACAUCAUUCCCUUCAAAAAUUAUACUGAGGAUUGUGCUGUUAAUUUAUCACUUGAUAUUCGGAAUGAGAUUCCGUGUACCACAUUUUAUGUCCCACUUUGUGUCUCACUUUCAAUUUUGUUUAAUUUCUUAUAUAUAUUUUCUUAAAUUUCAAUUUUAUAUGCUUUAGUUUAAUUUUGUGAUUAUUAACUAGAGUUUAUUCCAUCAAUCUAAGGUAUAUAAUUGUUUUUUAUCAUUUAAUUUCACUUUUAUUAGCUAAUAAUAGGUUGAUAAAUUUAAAGUGAUGGUAUAUACAUUUUAAAAAAAUUUAAUUUUUUGAAAUAAAUAUUAAAUAUAAUUCAUAGUAUUAUAAUAAAUUUUAUUUUUAUAAAAAAUAUUUUUAAAUAGUAGAUAUAAGCAUGAGACACAGUGGCACACAUGAAAUUGUGGGACACUGGAUCUCAUCCCGAUUUGGGAUGUCAAAAGUGCGAUUGGAGAAAUAAAAGCGAGGUUGUGGAGCUGGAACAAGACUUUUAAGAUGACCGAUAGGGAUCUUAACUUUCAGUCUUGGAUCUCCAACGACAUCUCUGCUUUACUUGUGUAAUGUUUGGGUACCUAUGGUACCAAUGAAUCCUCAAUAAUAUUUUUUUCUGAUAACAGAAAAAAAAAGUAAUAAAAUGAAGGUUUAUUGGCGCCUAAAUACACGAAUUUUGGAUCUAUUUUAGUUUUCCCACGAACUUUGAAAUUUGUCAAAAAAUAUAUGAACUUUGAUUUAUUUUAUUUUUUCCCACGAACUUUGAGAAUUGUCAAUAAAAAUACGAACUUUGGCUCAUUUUGCUUUUUUUUUUUCUUUUCACAAAAUAUAUUGUUAUAAAAAAAUGGUUCAAAUAAUUCUUUUAUAAUUAAUUAGCUAGCUUAAUUAAUUUAAUUAACUAUAGAUGACAAUUAUUCAUGGUGACACAUGAUUUUUUUUUUUUAAUUUCAAAAUAUAUUCUAUAAUCAAAACGACGUCGUUUUGAAAAGAAAAAAAAAGAAUUAUUUGGAUAAUUUUUUAUGAUAAUAUAUUUCGUGGGAAUAAACAAAUUUAGCCAAAGUUUAUGUAUUUUUUUGAUAAUUCUUAAAGUUUGUGGAAAAAAACAAAAUGACUCAAAAUUCGUGAUUUUUUUUGACAACUUUCAAAAUUCGUGAAAAAAAAAAAAUCAAAACAGACCUAAAAUUUAUGUAUUUAGGCGCCAAUAACCCUAAAAUUAAUUUAUUUGUUUAUGCUACCAAAAGAAAUAGUUGGGCCCAAUUCCACAAACAAUAGUUGGGCUAAAAUCUAUCUUAAGCAACGAAAUUUUGAUCUUUGAAAGCCUAUUGAGCCCAUAGCUGUCCUAACAAGCGUAAUGCAGCAUGCAGUUCUUCAUGAACACCCCAUUUAUAUCAUGUCAUUUUUCAAUUUCUUUCUUUUUUCAACAACACGUAGAUUUUUAAGACCAAACUAAAAUAGAGGUGUGUGUUUUUGUUACCUCUUUGAGGGAAAUCUCCAUCUUCCAUCUGUGCAUUAGUCAGCAACUUUGCUGCUUUGUGUAGAGGUUUCGGAUCCCUCUCCGCCUGCUCCAUUAAAAAUACAACAAAACUCAUUUUGUGUUUAUGGUUAAUUUUUUUAAAAAAUAAUAUAAAUCUUGAGUUAUCCAUUAAGGACUGCUCGUUUGGGGGUUAAUCGGGUCAGUCCGCAGGUUUCGGGCUGGAUUAACAUCCCCUAAAGUGUGAGAUCCUGUGUUCCGUAAUUUAUUAUGUCUCAAUCUCAAUCUUUUUUUUUUGUUACAAAAACAAAAAAUAUUAAUAUGCGUGAUGAUGUCAAAUAUAUUCCAAUUAGGAGAGAAGUAUUCCAAUUAGGAGAGAAGUCCCUAUUAAAUGUGAAUGCGGCACCAACCAAAGAAGUCCCUAUUAGAUUUUCAAUGUGAAUUAGGCGACAUGUCAGGUAAAAGAUAAUUAUCAAUGUGAUCACAACAUCACGUAUAUCUAUAUAUAACAACAUGCAUAUUCAUAUUUAACUAUAUGCAUAUUUAUGUUGCAUAUUUUCAUGAGCGGUACAGAAAAAAAAUAGAUAAAAAAGAAUUUUAAAAUAAAAUAUUAUCAUUAUUAUUAUUAUUAUCAAUAUCCAAAAUUAAUAUUUACUAUUUUACCCCUAUGUGUAUUUCGCCUUGGAAGGUCUCUCACACAUGUCAUGUUCUUAGUGCGCCACACACGCACAAAUGAGUAACCCAUAUUUGGAUCUAUAUACUAAAAUAAGAAGAGGAUAUACAUAAUCCACUUCUUAUGUGUGUGGUGGUUCUAUUAUUGAGAACUAGUAUAAUUUUUGUAAGAAUGUGAGGACCAUUAAAAUUACUAAAUCCAUUAUAAAAAUUAAUGCAUUUGUCGCUAAAACGUUUAUGUCACACUUAUUAAUGGUUAAUAAUUAGUGAUUAAAAAUGUUAUUAACCACACAUAUAUAAUCCUUUACUAUGUGUGGCUAAUACUGUUUAUUAAUUUGUCACAUAAGUAUUAGAUAUUAAGAGUUAAAUAGAAAAUAAAAAGGAUAAAAUAAAUGGGACUAACACUUUUUACCCACACAUAACUACAGAUUCUUAAUUACUAUUGAAAUUUCUGGCUCCGCUGCACACACAUACAAUCUUAAUUUAGAAUCUAUUUCGACAACACCACAGAUUCUUACAUUCAUUUCUUCUCUAAAUUGUGGCAUGAAAUUUAGUAGUAAUGAAAGUAAAUUAAGACUUGUGUAACUUUAACUGCUGAAAAAGCGUGAGCUCUUGUUGAAAUAUAAGAAAGACUUCAUAAUAGAGAGAGAGAAAACCAUCUUUCAUUUCAUCGCAUUCUCCUAUUUAUGCAAGUUUUACAAGUUGGUGUUUGUACACCAGUUUACACAGGAUAACUUACUCAGCUAACUAACUCCCUAACCAAUUCUGUUUACUAACUAAUGGGAGCUUAACAGAUUCAAAAUCCAACGGUAAUAUUCAAUAUUCAAUAGCUCUAAAUUGUGCGCUUCAUGCAUCUUAUAAAAGCCUAGUAUUUCUCGAAGCUUAACUAUUUCACCGGAAAAGUAUUUCAGCUUACCAAAACACGGAAGAAAAAAAAAUGUGGUGGCUGAAGAUCGCAGAGGGCCACGGCCCGUAUCUGUACAGCACGAACAACUUCGUCGGCCGGCAAAUAUGGGAGUACGACGAGAACGCCGGCACGGCGGAGGAGCGGGAAGCGCAGCUCGUCGAUUUCCAGAAGGCUCGCGACGACUGGAGCGAGAACAGGAAGAAGGGGUUCCAUUCAUGCGGCGACUUGUUCAUGAGACUGCAGCUCAAAAGGGAAAGCGGAAUCGAUCUGCUCGGAAUCCCGCCGGUGAGAAUCGGAGAGGAUGAAGAGAUCAGCUACGAAGCCGCCACGACCGCCGUGAAGAAGGCGCUGCGGGUGAACCGGGCGGUCCAAGCCAGCGACGGCCACUGGCCGGCCGAGAACGCCGGCCCGCUCUUCUUCACUCCCCCUUUGGUAAGCUUAUUAAUUUU
rnacentral:lncRNA from 1 species